rnacentral:lncRNA from 1 species
CAGAGAAGAUAUAGGGGGAGAACCGGAGAUGAAUGAGGAGAGGAAUGAGGGAGAAGGAAGUGGUCUAUGUGUGUGUGUCUGUGCGUGUGUGUGUGUGUUAUCCGAGAGAAGAAAAAAAAUCCAAACCUGCUUUCAAAAUAUCCAAAAUUUUGUGAAGAUAGUCAAAAUACACAUAGAGAUGAUGAAGAUAGUCAAAAUUUUGAACCUUAUAGGAACUCUAUGUGGUACUAAGUCACUCAUGUAUCUUACCAUGCAAUGUAUAAAGUGUAAAAUAUUGUACUGAUUCAUUAUAUAUAAAUGAUUAUGGUGUGUUUAAACUUCUUUCAUUAAUUACUACAUAUUUUCUACACUUACAAUGUUUGCCAGCUCGUUUUAUAAUCAACUUAAAUCCAUCAUGCAAUGCAUUUCCUUCCAAUUUUUUUGUGAUAAACUAAUAGAUAAUUGACUAAAUAAACAUUCUACAAGUUUCAAUAAAAAUUUCCAAGUUUUUCUUACAAUUUCCGUGGUUUUUAUUCAAUUUUUAUCAAUAUCGAUAAUAUCCCGAUAUUUCCAUCGAAAUUUCCGUAUUUUUGUACCGAUAUUUCCGAUAUCAUUGAUAUUUAAUACCUUGAUAAUGAUUAAUAAUGUUGAUGCACAAAAUCAGUGAAGACUUUGGUACAACAGAAAGUGUUAAGUUUGUGACCUUCGCUAGAUUGCUUCGGUCACUAGUAGGGAUAAGUAUGUAAAUGGAUAGGGACAGAGAAGCAAACACAAGAUGUACAUGGUUCUCAUUAAUUGUGAAGGGUUUACACAAGUACAUAAAUUUAAGCUCUCCUUUAGUGAGUACUAGUGAAUGAUUUAGUAUAAAUGACAUUAGGAAAUAUUGUGAGAGAAUGAUCUCUAUUUAUAGAAGAAAGUUUCUAGUUUCAUUUUGACAUUGACACGUGUCGUGUUGUGAUUGGCUUCUGAUGUUGACACG